GAUGUGGUGGCACAGUGGUUGAGCAUGCUAGACUUAGGAUCAAAGGUCUGGAGUUCGAGUCCUUGCCACGGUC